GACGAACGCUGGCGGUAUGCUUAACACAUGCAAGUCGAACGAGAAGAUUAUGAUUAGGCCUUCGGGUGAUAGAUUAAUUGGAAAGUGGCGAACGGGUGAGUAACGCGUGCGGUAACCUGCCCUAUGGAAAGGAAUAGCCUCGGGAAACUGGGAGUAAUGCCUUAUAAUGUAUGAGAAUCGCAUGGUUUUCAUAUCUCACGCUCCGGUGCCGUAAGAUGGACCCGCGUCCCUUUAUCUAGUUGGUGAGGUAACGGCUCACCAAGGCGACGAUGGGUAACCGGUCUGAGAGGGCGAACGGUCACACUGGAACUGAGACACGAUCCAUACUCCUACAGGAGGCAGCAAAUAUGGAAUAUUGCGCAGUGAGCCGAAACCCUGACUCACCAAUACCGCGUGAAUGAAUAACGUCUUCGGAUCGUAAAGUUCUGUUAUUGGGGAAGAACAGAGACCGUACCCGAGGAGAAAGUCCCGGCUAACUACGUGCCAGCAGCCGCGGUAAUACGUACGGGACAAGCGCUGUUCGGAUUUACUGGGCGUAAAGGGCACGCAUGCUGUUUUUUAAAUCAGAUGUGAAAGGUCCCGGCUCAACCGGGGAACUGCAUUUGAAACUGGUGAACUUUAGUAUUGGAGAGGCAAGUGGAAUUCCUACUGUAGCGGUGAAAUGCGUWRAGAUUARSASGAACACCMRUGGCGRAKGCGGCUUGCUGGACAAAUACUGACGCUSARRUGCGAAAGCGUGGGGAGCAAACAGGAWUASAUACCCUKGYCAGUCCACGCCGUAAACGAUGAGUGCUAGGUGUUGGGGGAACUCAGUGCCGCAGUUAACACAAUAAGCACUCCGCCUGGGGAGUACGACCGCAAGGUUGAAACUCAAAGGAAUUGACGGGGACCCGCACAAGCAGCGGAGCAUGUGGUUUAAUUCGAAGCAACGCGAAGAACCUUACCAGGUCUUGACAUCCUCUGACCAUCCGAGAGAUAGGACUUUCCCUUCGGGGACAGAGAGACAGGUGGUGCAUGGUUGUCGUCAGCUCGUGUCGUGAGAUGUUGGGUUAAGUCCCGCAACGAGCGCAACCCCUGUGGUUAGUUGCCAUCAUUUAGUUGGGCACUCUAAGCAGACUGCCGUAGAUAAUACGGAGGAAGGUGGGGACGACGUCAAAUCAUCAUGCCCCUUAUGACCUGGGCUACACACGUGCUACAAUGGUCUGAACAGAGGGUUGCGAAGCCGCGAGGUGAAGCUAAUCCCUUAAAACAGAUCCCAGUUCGGAUUGCAGGCUGCAACUCGCCUGCAUGAAGUUGGAGUUGCUAGUAAUCGCGAAUCAGAAUGUCGCGGUGAAUGCGUUCCCGGGUCUUGUACACACCGCCCGUCACACCACGAGAGUUGGCAACACCCGAAGUCAGUGAGGUAACCGCAAGGAACCAGCUGCCGAAGGUGGGGUCAGUAAUUGGGGUG
rnacentral:rRNA from 1 species